rnacentral:rRNA from 1 species
GUUUGUAAGGAAUCACACUCGUCAUUUAAGUCAUUCUUUAAGCAUGAUGACACCACCUCUGUUACAUCUGUUAUGAAGGAAGCAAUUGCUUGUGGUGCAAUAGAAGGUAGCGAUGAGCACUUCAUUGCCUCUGAGCUUUUCAUCAAGAGAGAGCAAAGGGAGAUGUUUCUGAGCAUGAGUGUUCACACUUGUUUGGGUUGGCUAAAGAGGAAGUUCAAUGUCAAGUACGGGAACUAG